UCGGACUGAUAAAAUGAAUAUGGGUAUCCAGACCGCCGGCGGUCAGGAUCAAUCCUUCGCCGGCAAUAAUCUCCGUUCCGGCGCCAAUGACAAGAUUUUCAUCCACACCAUCCAUCAUGGCCGGAUUUCCGGCCUUGCCGAUGCCGCAGAUUUUUCCGUCUUUUAUCCCCACAUCCGCUUUAACAAUUCCCCAGUAAUCCACAAUGACCGCACUCGUAAUGACUGUAUCCGGACACUGGUCAUCCGGAAUGAGACACGACUGUCCCAUACCGUCACGC
rnacentral:sRNA from 1 species